rnacentral:rRNA from 1 species
UAGCGUGAAGGAUGACUGCCUAUGGGUUGUAAACUUCUUUUAUAUGGGAAUAAGUGGAGUAUGUAUACUCUUUUGUAUGUACCAUAUGAAUAAGGAUCGGCUAACUCCGUGCCAGCAGCCGCGGUAAUACGGAGGAUCCGAGCGUUAUCCGGAUUUAUUGGGUUUAAAGGGAGCGUAGGCGGAUGCUUAAGUCAGUUGUGAAAGUUUGCGGCUCAACCGUAAAAUUGCAGUUGAAACUGGGUGUCUUGAGUGCAGUAUAGGCAGGCGGAAUUCGUGGUGUAGCGGUGAAAUGCUUAGAUAUCACGAAGAACUCCGAUUGCGAAGGCAGCUUGCUGGAGUGUCACUGACGCUGAUGCUCGAAAGUGUGGGUA